AGGCUGCAUGUGAAGACUGAUAAUGUCACAGCUGUGCAACCAGGAUUUCAGAGGCGAAUUCAGUCAUGGUCAACUAUAGUGCGUCUGAGCAACGUGGAACCCAAUGGACGGAUCCUUCUCAAGCCGACCAGCGAAAGCAAAAGCAACAGAAAUGGGGAUCCAUGCACAAGUCAACAGCAUCACCUGCUGUCCAUCAGAGGCCACUGCGUCCAUCCAGGUCCAGGUUCACACAGACUCGGUGGUGCUGAGCUGUUAAUAAGAAGCAGAGGAGAAGAUGAGAUGAAGAUGUGCAGACUUUAGUCUCCACUCUGCUGGGGAACUGGCAGGCGCUGCAUGUGCUGAGGAUCUGGCACAGAACAUGGUGACCAGGUUUUGGAUUCCACGAGGACUUCUGGUCUUGUCAAGAUCAGUGUUUAUGCCCGAAAAACUCCUAACAAGG